rnacentral:rRNA from 1 species
CCUACGGGUGGCAGCAGUGGGGAAUAUUGGGCAAUGGGCGCAAGCCUGACCCAGCAACGCCGCGUGAAGGAAGAAGGCUCUCGGGUUGUAAACUUCUUUUAUCAGGGACGAAUCAAAUGCCGGUACUUGCUGAAUAACCCCCGGCUAACUCCGUGCCAGCAGCCGCGGUAAUCCGUAGGUGGCAAGCGUUAUCCGGAUUUACUGGGUGUAAGGGGCGUGUAGGCGGGUGAGCAAGUCAGACGUGAAUUUCCAGGGCUCAACCCUGGAACUGCAUUUGAAACUGUUGUUCUUGAGUGAUGGAGAGGCAGGCGGAAUUCCGUGUGUAGCGGUGAAAUGCGUAGAUAUACGGAGGAACACCAGUGGCGAAGGCGGCCUGCUGGACAGCAACUGACGCUGAGGCGCGAAAGCGUGGGGAGCAAACAGGAUUAGAUACCCGUGUAGUC